CUCGAAGCGUCAGGCGCACCCAGAAACCCUUUGUGAACUUAUACCUUACUGUUGCCUCGGCGCUAGCUGGCCCUUCGGGGCCUCGCGGCCCGGACCCAGGCGCCCGCCGGAGACCCCAAACCCCUCUGUCUAGUGGUUUUCUCCUCUGAGUAGACAUAAACAAUAAUACAAAACUUUCAACAACGGAUCUCUUGGUUCUGGCAUCGAUGAAGAACGCAGCGAAAUGCGAUAAGUAAUGUGAAUUGCAGAAUUCAGUGAAUCAUCGAAUCUUUGAACGCACAUUGCGCCCUCUGGUAUUCCGGAGGGCAUGCCUGUUCGAGCGUCAUUUCAACCCUCAAGGCCCCCAGUGCCUGGCGUUGGGGAUCGGCGCGGCGUCCCUCCGGGGGCGCUGUGGCGAGGCCCCGAAAUUCAGUGGCGGUCUCGCGCCCUCCUCCGCUUGGAAGACAACCUCGCGGCCUGGAGCUUAAACGGCGGUGGCCAUGCCGUAUGACCUCGGAUCAGGUAGGAAUACCCGCUGAACUUAAGCAUAUCAAUAAGCGGAGGAAA
rnacentral:rRNA from 1 species